AGGAAACACUUUCUUUAGUGUUAGGAGCAGCGAAGACAUUUUUCGAAUCCAGAGCUUGAAGAGAGUUUAAAGCUUCAGGACGUCUCACACAAUGGAUGAACCCAACAUUUCAGCCGAUUCGUUUCGUCCGCUCGUCGAGUCUUUUUUCACGAGGAUGACAGCGGAGCAGUGGAGCCUGUUGAAGUCUGGCAAACCGGACGAUGCCACGAAGGUGCAGUUGGCAGAACUUCUGCUGAACAUAAUAUCGACCAUUUCGACAGCCCUGGUAAAGUCUCGGGGACGUUCACGCACGCCCGUGUCCAUGGAGAGUGCUCGGAGCAAUCUGUGCGACUCGCUCGCUCAAAGUUUUGCACCAGGCAUCUCGACAAAGUCUGAGGAUUUGGAUCAAUUCACAGACAUGGUUUCAAAGGAGGUGAUGACGAGUGUCCAGUCCAGUUUGUCUUGUGCGCCGCCCGUCGGUGCGUCCUCUGAGGAGCCCGAUCCUUGUUGCUUCACUGAGCCAAAGAAACUGCAUAAAAUGAUCUGUUGCGUCUGCAGAGUGUUAAAGACUUUCUCGGCCAAAAUCAAACGCUUGUUCAAGCCUCAACCGCCUAGACAAAGACGCCAGGCCACGCCUCCUCGGACACGGGACACCGAAGACCAAUUAAAUCGGAGGAUAACGACCUCGUCAGACUUUGACAUGUCAUCGUUCACUUCUGAAGAGUCGACAACCUCAGAUGUCUCAUCAGAGGACAAUGUCGACGGUCAGAAUGGCAAGAUCUAUGAGAAAAUAAUUAACAAGGAGGUGAAUGGUGUCAUUGAACCUCUUAUGGAUGAACUGUCCAACCCCGACUACAACAUGCUGCAAUCUCAAGCCUCUGUGGAGAUUAAAGCUAUUGCAAAAAAAAUUGCUCCCUUGAUUCUGAAUGAGCACAUAAACAUUUUUUCAAGCCCCAAAUCCGGAGGAGUAGGGAAGAUGAUGGAGAACCUUUUUGCAAAGACUUUUGCCACAGCAACCAUACUGAAAAUGCUGAGAGAAGUCCAGAGCAAAUUCCACAGGGAAGACUUUGGUUUCCCUGACGACAAAAAGGAAAUGAAGACUUUGAUGGCGGAUGUCGACUCUCUGCUUGAUGGAAGUGGUGACCAUUGUAUGUUACAGACGUUCAAAAGACUUUCACGUGCAGACAUGCUUGACUUCACAGAGGAAUUUGCAGAUCUCUUCUACCAGCACGCCACAGCUGCGAGGAAGCCAGAUGCAGUGAUGACACUGUCGGUUCCUGAGUCAGACAGAAACAUGUAUGCAGACAUAAAGAGGCUAGCAAUGUAUUUCCUGUCAUUGAUGAGCUGGUGGAUGAACAACCAGGUUGCCUGCUAUAGAGACAGAGUGACACUCGCUUUGAUGGGCAACGAAUCCUCGGCAGCACCGGAGGCCUCAAAGGGCAACGUCAUGGACUCAACAAAAGAACAGGCAGAACAACAAAAAAUGAUUGUCAAGGUCCUCGUGGACCAGGUCGUCACAAAGAUACAUCAAAUGGCAAAAGUGGCCUGCACUCCCACAACCGCUCUCGCUCUUCAUCUGUUCGAGAACACAUGGGCCAAGGUCCAAGACAUUGACCUGGAUAUCCCCCCAAAAAUAUUCAGAAACCUUGACAAGGCCGUUUGGGAGGACCUGUGUAAGAGGUGGGCCUGUCCAGUGUUGCUCCUGGUGGCCCUACGUUUAGGGGAACCCGAGGUGGGGAAGUGCAUCGCCUCCUCUAUAAGAAGUCGCCUGUCCAAAAAACCAAGUGCCAUCUACAGAUUCUUCUCUGUGAGAAGAAAGGCUUCAGAAGAAACGUGGUUGAUGCCAUUUAGGUGACACAUAAUAUUCAUCAGUUUUUUUAUCCAGGUGACCUCCCGCUCCACUGGCUUCUGGCCUUGAAGAGGUAGAGGCCAGUGGGGCAGGACUCGAGGACCUCCGGGUUCGACAGGAUGAACUCGCAGGCAGAUGACAAGGGGUCGAUUCACAUCCACGAUGGCUCAUGACUGGGAAUCGAUCCAUCUGGCAGUUGUCCUGGAUACUGUGCUGCUUUCAGUCUUGCAGGGAAGUUGGAAACGUCAAAUCCGAAUGUCUGGCUGUGGAACUGCACGAUCUGGCGCAGUUUAUUGCUCUUAUGGGGUUCGCUUGAAAACCUUUCCUCCCCUUCGUCUCCUCGAGACCGAUGAAAAAUGUCACAGGGUCAAGGAAUGAUGAGAAGGAGAAUCCCUGAGGAGUUAGGAAACGAGAGCAGCGAUGCAAAGGAGGUCAAACUUCACUU